GGAAUUCGUGGUGUAGCGGUGAAAUGCUUAGAUAUCACGAAGAACUCCGAUUGCGAAGGCAGCUCACUGGAGCGCAACUGACGCUGAAGCUCGAAAGUGCGGGUAUCGAACAGGAUUAGAUACCCUGGUAGUCCGCACGGUAAACGAUGGAUGCCCGCUGUUGGUCUGAAUAGGUCAGCGGCCAAGCGAAAGCAUUAAGCAUCCCACCUGGGGAGUACGCCGGCAACGGUGAAACUCAAAGGAAUUGACGGGGGCCCGCACAAGCGGAGGAACAUGUGGUUUAAUUCGAUGAUACGCGAGGAACCUUACCCGGGCUUGAAUUGCAGAGGAAGGAUUUGGAGACAAUGACGCCCUUCGGGGCCUCUGUGAAGGUGCUGCAUGGUUGUCGUCAGCUCGUGCCGUGAGGUGUCGGCUUAAGUGCCAUAACGAGCGCAACCCUUGUCGUCAGUUACUAACAGGUGAUGCUGAGGACUCUGACAAGACUGCCAUCGUAAGAUGUGAGGAAGGUGGGGAUGACGUCAAAUCAGCACGGCCCUUACGUCCGGGGCUACACACGUGUUACAAUGGGGGGUACAGAGGGCCGCUACCACGCGAGUGGAUGCCAAUCCCUAAAACCCCUCUCAGUUCGGACUGGAGUCUGCAACCCGACUCCACGAAGCUGGAUUCGCUAGUAAUCGCGCAUCAGCCAUGGCGCGGUGAAUACGUUCCCGGGCCUUGUACACACCGCCCGUCAAGCCAUGAAAGCCGGGGGCGCCUAAAGUCCGUGACCGUAAGGAGCGGCCUAGGGCGAAACUGGUAAUUGGGGCUAAGUCGUAACAAGGUAGCCGUACCGGAAGGUGCGGCUG
rnacentral:rRNA from 1 species